GAUGAACGCUAGCGGCAGGCUUAAUACAUGCAAGUCGUGGGGCAGCAGGUUUGUAGCAAUACAGAUGCUGGCGACCGGCAAACGGGUGCGGAACACGUACAGAACCUUCCUUUGAGCGGGGAAUAGCCCAGAGAAAUUUGGAUUAAUACCCCAUAGUAUAAUGAAGUGGCAUCACUUUAUUAUUAAAGAUUUAUCACUCGAAGAUGGCUGUGCGGCUGAUUAGGUAGUUGGCGGGGUAAAGGCCCACCAAGCCUGCGAUCAGUAACUGGUGUGAGAGCACGACCAGUCACACGGGCACUGAGACACGGGCCCGACUCCUACGGGAGGCAGCAGUAAGGAAUAUUGGUCAAUGGAGGCAACUCUGAACCAGCCAUGCCGCGUGGAGGAUGAAGGUCCUCUGGAUUGUAACUUCUUUAUAUGGGACGAAAAAAGGCUUUCUAAGUCGUCUGACGGUACCAUAUGAAUAAGCACCGGCUAACUCCGUGCCAGCAGCCGACGG
rnacentral:rRNA from 1 species